UUACCAUCCUUACCACUCUACCACCCUACCAUCUUACCACCCUACCAUCUUACCACCCUACGAUCUUACCAUCCUUACCAUCCUUACCACCCUACCAUCUUACCAUCUUACCAUCCUUACCACCCUACCAUCCUUACCACCCUACCAUCCUUACCAUCCUACCAUCUUACCAUCCUUACCACACCACCCUAUCCUACUACCCUGCACCCUGUCAGGAACAUGAAGCACAAGUCCAAUGUCCUCUGUGAAGAAGAUUUCAGCUCCGGUGUCCAUCUGUAGGGUAGAGGUUUAUGGGCUCUAUCUCCACUAUUAGAGGUUUAUGGGCUCUAUCUCCACAAUUAGAGGUUUAUGGGCUCUAACUCCAGUAUUAGAGGUUUGUGGGCUCUAGCUCCACUAUUACAGGUUUAUGGGCUCUAGCUCCACUAUUACAGGUUUAUGGGCUCUAGCUCCACUAUUAGAGGUUUAUGGGCUCUAGCUCCACUAUUAGAGGUUUAUGGGCUCUCGCUCCAGUAUUAGAGGUUUGUGGGCUCUAACUCCAGUAUUAGAGGUUUGUGGGCUCUAACUCCAGUAUUAGAGGUUUGUGGGCUCUAACUCCAGUAUUAGAGGUUUGUGGGCUCUAACUCCAGUAUUAGAGGUUUGUGGGCUCUAACUCCAGUAUUAGAGGUUUGUGGGCUCUAACUCCAGUAUUAGAGGUUUGUGGGCUCUAACUCCAGUAUUAGAGGUUUGUGGGCUCUAACUCCAGUAUUAGAGGUUUGUGGGCUCUAACUCCAGUAUUAGAGGUUUGUGGGCUCUAGCUCCACUAUUAGAGGUUUGUGGGCUCUAGCUCCACUAUUAGAGGUUUGUGGGCUCUAGUUCCACCAUACAUGACAACAACAGCAGGUCUCUCUGUCCUGUAGCCCGAGGACAACAGCAGUAGGUCUGUCUGUCCUGUAGCCCGAGGACAACAGCAGUAGGUCUGUCUGUCCUGUAGCCCGAGGACAACAGCAGUAGGUCUGUCUGUCCUGUAGCCCGAGGACAACAGCAGUAGGUCUGUCUGUCCUGUAGCCCGAGGACAACAGCAGUAGGUCUGUCUGUCCUGUAGCCCGAGGACAACAGCAGUAGGUCUGUCUGUCCUGUAGCCCGAGGACAACAGCAGUAGGUCUGUCUGUCCUGUAGCCCGAGGACAACAGCAGUAGGUCUGUCUGUCCUGUAGCCCGAGGACAACAGCAGUAGGUCUGUCUGUCCUGUAGCCCGAGGACAACAGCAGUAGGUCUGUCUGUCCUGUAGCCCGAGGACAACAGCAGUAGGUCUGUCUGUCCUGUAGCCCGAGGACAACAGCAGUAGGUCUGUCUGUCCUGUAGCCCGAGGACAACAGCAGUAGGUCUGUCUGUCCUGUAGCCCGAGGACAACAGCAGUAGGUCUGUCUGUCCUGUAGCCCGAGGACAACAGCAGCAGGUCUGUCUGUCCUGUAGCCCGAGGACAACAGCAGUAGGUCUGUCUGUCCUGUAGCCCGAGGACAACAGCAGUAGGUCUCUCUGUCCUGUAGCCUGAGGACAACAUCAGUAGGUCUGUCUGUUCUGUAGCCUGAGGACAACAGCAGUAGGUCUGGCAGCUAGCCCCAAAUCUUCCUGGGAUAGCUUAGCAUACUAUACUCUGCAAAACAUUAGCGGAGCAGUGAUGUAGUUAGCAUGUAGCCUGCUCUUUUAAAUCGAGAUGUAUUUGUAGGUGUUUGUAGGUGUAUUUGUAGAUGUAUUUGUAGAUGUAUUUGUAGAUGUAUUUGUAGAUGUAUUUGUAGGUGUAUUUGUAGAUGUAUUUGUAGGUGUAUUUGUAGAUGUAUUUGUAGGUGUUUGUAGAUGUAUUUGUAGGUGUUUGUAGAUGUAUUUGUAGGUGUGUUUGUAGAUGUGUUUGUAGAUGUAUUUGUAGAUGUAUUUGUAGAUGUAUUUGUAGAUGUAUUUGUAGAUGUAUUUGUAGGUGUUUGUAGAUGUAUUUGUAGAUGUGUUUGUAGAUGUGUUUGUAGAUGUGUUUGUAGAUGUGUUUGUAGAUGUAUUUGUAGGUGUUUGUAGAUGUAUUUGUAGAUGUGUUUGUAGAUGUAUUUGUAGGUAUCCUGCAUCGUCACAUUUUGAAAAGGGAGAUUUGAUUUCAAGGUAUCAUUAAUAUGAUUUUGAUAGGCUCAGCAUUAUGAAUUGCACCUGAAAAUGCAAGCGCUUUUAUAUGAGUAAACACAUGUCAUACUGUACAUUGUGUAAUAACUUUCCCUCAAAAUACUCUUGAUUUUCAUAUGGGUAAUCAGCACCUCUCCUUCCCACUGAAAUGUUGAAAUGCAACAUCACACCCUGGGAUACUACAGAUGUAUUAGUCAGUGAUUCCCAGAUAGACAGUUGAAGUGGGAAGUUUACAUACAC